AGAGUUUGAUCAUGGCUCAGGAUGAACGCUAGCUACAGGCUUAACACAUGCAAGUCGAGGGGAAACGAUAUUGGAAGCUUGCUUCCGAUAGGCGUCGACCGGCGCACGGGUGAGUAACGCGUAUCCAACCUGCCCACCACUUGGGGAUAACCUUGCGAAAGUAAGACUAAUACCCAAUGAUAUCUCUAGAAGACAUCUGAAAGAGAUUAAAGAUUUAUCGGUGAUGGAUGGGGAUGCGUCUGAUUAGCUUGUGGCGGGUAACGCCACAAGGCGACGAUCAGUAGGGUUCUGAGAGGAAGGUCCCCAAUUGGAACUGAGACACGGUCCAAACUCAUACGGGAGCA
rnacentral:rRNA from 1 species